rnacentral:rRNA from 1 species
GGUUAAGCGACUAAGCGUACACGGUGGAUGCCCUGGCAGUCAGAGGCGAUGAAGGACGUGCUAAUCUGCGAUAAGCGUCGGUGAGGUGAUAUGAACCGUUAUAACCGGCGAUUUCCGAAUGGGGAAACCCAGUGUGUUUCGACACACUAUCAUUAACUGAAUCCAUAGGUUAAUGAGGCGAACCGGGGGAACUGAAACAUCUAAGUACCCCGAGGAAAAGAAAUCAACCGAGAUUCCCCCAGUAGCGGCGAGCGAACGGGGAGGAGCCCAGAGCCUGAAUCAGUGUGUGUGUUAGUGGAAGCGUCUGGAAAGGCGUGCGAUACAGGGUGACAGCCCCGUACACAAAAAUGCACAUAUUGUGAGCUCGAUGAGUAGGGCGGGACACGUGGUAUCCUGUCUGAAUAUGGGGGGACCAUCCUCCAAGGCUAAAUACUCCUGACUGACCGAUAGUGAACCAGUACCGUGAGGGAAAGGCGAAAAGAACCCCGGCGAGGGGAGUGAAAAAGAACCUGAAACCGUGUACGUACAAGCAGUGGGAGCCUCUUAAUGGGGUGACUGCGUACCUUUUGUAUAAUGGGUCAGCGACUUAUAUUCUGUAGCAAGGUUAACCGAAUAGGGGAGCCGAAGGGAAACCGAGUCUUAACUGGGCGUUAAGUUGCAGGGUAUAGACCCGAAACCCGGUGAUCUAGCCAUGGGCAGGUUGAAGGUUGGGUAACACUAACUGGAGGACCGAACCGACUAAUGUUGAAAAAUUAGCGGAUGACUUGUGGCUGGGGGUGAAAGGCCAAUCAAACCGGGAGAUAGCUGGUUCUCCCCGAAAGCUAUUUAGGUAGCGCCUCGUGAAUUCAUCUCCGGGGGUAGAGCACUGUUUCGGCAAGGGGGUCAUCCCGACUUACCAACCCGAUGCAAACUGCGAAUACCGGAGAAUGUUAUCACGGGAGACACACGGCGGGUGCUAACGUCCGUCGUGAAGAGGGAAACAACCCAGACCGCCAGCUAAGGUCCCAAAGUCAUGGUUAAGUGGGAAACGAUGUGGGAAGGCCCAGACAGCCAGGAUGUUGGCUUAGAAGCAGCCAUCAUUUAAAGAAAGCGUAAUAGCUCACUGGUCGAGUCGGCCUGCGCGGAAGAUGUAACGGGGCUAAACCAUGCACCGAAGCUGCGGCAGCGACACUAUGUGUUGUUGGGUAGGGGAGCGUUCUGUAAGCCUGUGAAGGUGGCCUGUGAGGGUUGCUGGAGGUAUCAGAAGUGCGAAUGCUGACAUAAGUAACGAUAAAGCGGGUGAAAAGCCCGCUCGCCGGAAGACCAAGGGUUCCUGUCCAACGUUAAUCGGGGCAGGGUGAGUCGACCCCUAAGGCGAGGCCGAAAGGCGUAGUCGAUGGGAAACAGGUUAAUAUUCCUGUACUUGGUGUUACUGCGAAGGGGGGACGGAGAAGGCUAUGUUGGCCGGGCGACGGUUGUCCCGGUUUAAGCGUGUAGGCUGGUUUUCCAGGCAAAUCCGGAAAACCAAGGCUGAGGCGUGAUGACGAGGCACUACGGUGCCGAAGUGACAAAUGCCCUGCUUCCAGGAAAAGCCUCUAAGCAUCAGGUAACAUCAAAUCGUACCCCAAACCGACACAGGUGGUCAGGUAGAGAAUACCAAGGCGCUUGAGAGAACUCGGGUGAAGGAACUAGGCAAAAUGGUGCCGUAACUUCGGGAGAAGGCACGCUGAUAUGUAGGUGAAGCGACUUGCUCGUGGAGCUGAAAUCAGUCGAAGAUACCAGCUGGCUGCAACUGUUUAUUAAAAACACAGCACUGUGCAAACACGAAAGUGGACGUAUACGGUGUGACGCCUGCCCGGUGCCGGAAGGUUAAUUGAUGGGGUUAGCGGUAACGCGAAGCUCUUGAUCGAAGCCCCGGUAAACGGCGGCCGUAACUAUAACGGUCCUAAGGUAGCGAAAUUCCUUGUCGGGUAAGUUCCGACCUGCACGAAUGGCGUAAUGAUGGCCAGGCUGUCUCCACCCGAGACUCAGUGAAAUUGAACUCGCUGUGAAGAUGCAGUGUACCCGCGGCAAGACGGAAAGACCCCGUGAACCUUUACUAUAGCUUGACACUGAACAUUGAGCCUUGAUGUGUAGGAUAGGUGGGAGGCUUUGAAGUGUGGACGCCAGUCUGCAUGGAGCCGACCUUGAAAUACCACCCUUUAAUGUUUGAUGUUCUAACGUUGGCCCGUAAUCCGGGUUGCGGACAGUGUCUGGUGGGUAGUUUGACUGGGGCGGUCUCCUCCUAAAGAGUAACGGAGGAGCACGAAGGUUGGCUAAUCCUGGUCGGACAUCAGGAGGUUAGUGCAAUGGCAUAAGCCAGCUUGACUGCGAGCGUGACGGCGCGAGCAGGUGCGAAAGCAGGUCAUAGUGAUCCGGUGGUUCUGAAUGGAAGGGCCAUCGCUCAACGGAUAAAAGGUACUCCGGGGAUAACAGGCUGAUACCGCCCAAGAGUUCAUAUCGACGGCGGUGUUUGGCACCUCGAUGUCGGCUCAUCACAUCCUGGGGCUGAAGUAGGUCCCAAGGGUAUGGCUGUUCGCCAUUUAAAGUGGUACGCGAGCUGGGUUUAGAACGUCGUGAGACAGUUCGGUCCCUAUCUGCCGUGGGCGCUGGAGAACUGAGGGGGGCUGCUCCUAGUACGAGAGGACCGGAGUGGACGCAUCACUGGUGUUCGGGUUGUCAUGCCAAUGGCACUGCCCGGUAGCUAAAUGCGGAAGAGAUAAGUGCUGAAAGCAUCUAAGCACGAAACUUGCCCCGAGAUGAGUUCUCCCUGACUCCUUGAGAGUCCUGAAGGAACGUUGAAGACGACGACGUUGAUAGGCCGGGUGUGUAAGCGCAGCGAUGCGUUGAGCUAACCGGUACUAAUGAACCGUGAGGCUUAACCUU